UACGUAGGGUGCAGGCGUUAAUCGGAAUCAUUGGGCGUAAAGAGCGUGUAGGCGGCUUGCUAAGUCUUGCGUGAAAUCUCGGGGCUCAACCCCGAGCGGUCGUGGGAAACUGGCAGGCUAGAGUGCGGGAGAGGAGAAUGGAAUUCCUGGUGUAGCGGUGAAAUGCGCAGAUAUCAGGAAGAACACCCGUGGCGAAGGCGGCUCUCUGGGACGGUACUGACGCUGAGACGCGAAAGCGUGGGGAGCGAACAGG
rnacentral:rRNA from 1 species